AUGCCGAGCCACUGGGCUCAUGAAACGUAUGUUUACCAUAAUCCCCUCUGGCGCCUUUCGAAAAACAUCAAUGCAGUUGGAGAAUUCAAUAGGAGAUGUUUCUUGGCUUCUGCGUGUUUCAGCUUCCGCGGAUGAUCGCGACGAUGAAUAUUUAGGUCUGCCUCCUAUUGCUGCAAAUGAACCAAUUCUUUGUCUUAUAUGGGAA
rnacentral:misc_RNA from 1 species